AUUGAACGCUGGCGGCAGGCCUACCACAUGCAAGUCGCACGAGUGGCGGACGGGUGAGUAAUGGCUGGGAAACUGCACGAUGGAGGGGAAUAACUAGUGGAAACAGUAGCUAAUAACGCAUACCAUCGGCUGGGCACAGCUGGGAUUGGCUAGUAGGUGGGGUAACGGCUCACCUAGGCGACGAUCCCUAGCUGGUCUGAGAGGAUGACCAGACACACUGGAACGGAGACACGGUCCAGACUCCUACUGGAGGCAGCAGUGGGGAAUAUUGCACAAUGGGCGCAAGCCUGAUGCAGCCAUGCCGCGUGUAUGAAGAAGGCCUUUGGGUUGUAAAGUACUUUCAGCGAGGAGGCGUUACUCGCAGAAGAAGCACCGGCUAACUCCGUGCCAGCAGCCGCGGUAAUUC
rnacentral:rRNA from 1 species